rnacentral:lncRNA from 1 species
GAUAACAGGGUUUCCCCUGGGUCAAUUAUUUUUUUCGCCACCUCUUUCGCCAAAAAAAUAUAUUUUUCGCCACUUUAUUAUUUUUUUCGCUAAGUAACACAAAUAUAUUUUUCUUUUAAAAUUUUCCAUCCCCCCCUCCAAAACAAGAAGUGGUUUUUACAACAAAACAGAACAUUUUACCACUUGAAAUUUGUCCCUCGUGUAAGGUGUAGUCAUUACAUUGAAGUGUUACUGUCAUGCCAACCUAACCUUUUGAAUAGAUUUCUUCCAUAACGACAGUUUUCUUUUCUAGACCAUCGUAAUGCUUGAAACAUUGAAACACGUGUGUCACUGAAACGACUUUAAAGUACCCACUCAAAUCAAUAAUUAUUAUCUAUAUCAAAGUUAAAUGAUAAAGUUUUAAAUCAGAGACCUUUCUUGCUUUUGAAGAUUUUUCGUCAUAACAACAGUUUUCUUUUCUUGACUAUCAUUAAAAGAAGGAUCGAGAGGAAGCGUCAACAUUUUGCUUCAACACGUGCGUCGCAAAGUGGCAAAAUCCCGUUUGUGACAUGUAACGGACGCCAUUUAACCAUACCAUAUCAAUUUGUUAUAUAAUACAAUCAACACCUUUAUUAAUUAGUCCUUUGAUGUCGAUAGCUAUAAAUGCAAUCAGCUGAUUAUUGAUUUUCUGUCAAAAUCUUAACGAGUUCAAGGUGAAUUCCGAGUAUUGUCUGAUCGGGUAAAGUCCGAGAAACCCGAAAAAAGUAAAUAAACAAGAUGGCUGAAAAUAAAUCGUUAUAUAUAUUUCUUUCGUCAAAUUCUUUCGCCAAUGACGAAUUUUAAUCGCCACAAUUAUUAUUUUUUCGCAAAUUGCGAAAAUGGCGACCGCCAGCGGAAACCCUGCUUGAUAAAACAUAAAA